GCACUGUACAUACUGUAUACAUAUAGCCAGGUUACUGAAUGCACUGUAUACAUAUAGCCAGGUUACUGAAUGCACUGUAUAUACUGUAUACAUAUAGCCAGGUUACUGAAUGCACUAUAUACAUAUAGCCAGGUUACUGAAUGCACUGUAUAUACUGUAUACAUAUAGCCAGGUUACUGAAUGCACUAUAUACAUAUAGCCAGGUUACUGAAUGCACUGUAUAUACUGUAUACAUAUAGCCAGGUUACUGAAUGCACUAUAUACAUAUAGCCAGGUUACUGAAUGCACUGUAUAUACUGUAUACAUAUAGCCAGGUUACUGAAUGCACUGUAUAUACUGUAUACAUAUAGCCAGGUUACUGAAUGCACUAUAUACAUAUAGCCAGGUUACUGAAUGCACUGUAUAUACUGUAUACAUAUAGCCAGGUUACUGAAUGCACUGUAUAUACUGUAUACAUAUAGCCAGGUUACUGAAUGCACUGUAUAUACUGUAAACAUA